GCUUUCCUAUUGAAGGAGUUUGAAGUGGUACAGCUCCCUAGUGAUGUUCCCAAGGAGACAGAGGCCUGCCUGAGGCCACCUUGCUGUCUCUCAAAAGGAUUUCUUGAUCUUCCUGUCUCUUCUAGUCAAUUCAAAAAAACGGCCAAAGAGCUGUGAUAGAGCAGAGGCACUACAGUAAAUACGUGCUAGGACUAUGAUUGCUUCCACUGCGUGUGCCUUGCUUCCUCUGGAUACAAGUAUGUGCCAGUGAAAUGAGUAAAUUCUGACAUCCUGAAAAUGGAGCAGAGAGUAACUUUCCAAGAAGGUUAGGUAUAUAUAACUAAGUACUUAGAGGGGAAGUGUAUUGGAGGAUUAAAGCUGUUAAAUUGCAGUCACUUAAUUAUCCUGAGUCAUUCCUUAAGUAUCUGUACUCCAGUGUCCAUCCACUGCACAGUCACCUGAUCAAGAGGAAAGACAAAUGGAAUACAUUUCCAUACAAGAAGGACAAGAAUCAGAAGCUUAACAAAGCAUUUGAAGAAU